rnacentral:lncRNA from 1 species
CUUGAUCAACAUGGUGAAAACUGUUUCAACUGAAAAUACAAAAAUUAACCAGGUGUGGUGUCGCGUGCCUGUAAUCCCAGCUACUUGGGAGCCUGAGGCAGGAGAAUCACUUGAACCUGGGAGGUGGAGGCUGCUGUGAGCCGAGAUCAUGCCACUGCACUCCAGCCUGGGUGACAGAGUGAGACUCCAUCUCAAAACUAAGAAUAAUAAUAUUUCUUUUAGACUAAUUGUGUAUCUAGG